GAGAGGGAACACAAGCAGGGGGAGUGGGAGGGGAGAAGCAGGCUUCCCACUGAGCAGGGAGCCCCAUGCAGGGCUCGCUCCCAGGACCCUGGGAUCAUGACUUGAGCCGAAGGCAGUCGCUUAUAGACUGAGCCACCCAGGAGCCCCAAACAAAUCAUAUUUUUGUAUAAAUAUGUCCUGAAGCGUGGCAGAACACGCCAGUCCCUGAGAUGCCAUUCUGACGUGAAGACUAUUUUGAGCUAAAGGCCCUUGAAAAACAACAGAUGCGAGAAGAGCGCCUCACCUCCCUUUCCUUCCCAUGUGAGAGAUGCCCUCCCUGUACGAGGAAAACAAGAAACAUUCUUCAAAGGCCAGGACUGUGAACACAGGGUACCAGCUAAGAGCCUGGGCUUUGGUGGAGUCAAGCCGAGUAUCUAGAAAGAUGUCUGGCAUGUAAUGGGCCUGUGAUGAAUGAUCACCAUCAUCAUCUCAAACCUUCACAAUAACAACGUGCUUUGGAACCAGACUGUACUAAGUUCAAGUCCCUGCUCUACCACUUUCUAGAAAAACACCCCACCACCUAUGGAGUAAUCAUCCCAGAUGUUGAACCUGAAUUGCAUGAAGUUUCUACAGAGAGAGACACAACCAAACUCCGGACUGUGGGAAACUCCAGCAGACAAAUGACCCGGUCUUUUCAACAAAUAGAGUGCAAGAGGGGGAGGAAAGAGAAAAAGGGGGUACCUGUCAUUUAAAAAAGACUGGAGUAACAUCAAUCAUGUGCAUUAUAUAGACUGUCUUUGGAACCCCAAUUUGAGCAGAUUCUUUCCGAAAUGAGACAACUGGAGAAUUUGAACAAUCAGAUAGUUAAGGACAUUGACAUGCUGUCGUUUAAUCUUUUAGGUAUAAGAAUGACAGUAGAACUAUUUUUAAGUCCUUAUCUCUUAGAGAUUCAUACUGAAAUAUUUAUAGAUGAAAUGAUGUGAUAGCUGAGACUUGCUUCAGAAGAACCCUGGGGUAGGGCAGGGCCAUAGGUGAAACUCAGCAGGCCAAGCGAUGAUGAUCAUUGAAGUGGGGUAAUGAGUACAUAGGAGUUCACUCUAUUAUUCUUUCCAUUUUUAUGUGGUUGAAAUCUUCCAUAAUAAAACCUACAAGAAAAAAACCCAAAUGAUA